rnacentral:rRNA from 1 species
CCUACGGGGGGCAGCAGUGAGGAAUAUUGGUCAAUGGGCGAGGGCCUGAACCAGCCAAGUCGCGUGAAGGAUGAAGGAUCUAUGGUUUGUAAACUUCUUUUAUAUGGGAAUAAAGUGAGGAACGUGUUCCUUUUUGUAUGUACCAUAUGAAUAAGCAUCGGCUAACUCCGUGCCAGCAGCCGCGGUAAUACGGAGGAUGCGAGCGUUAUCCGGAUUUAUUGGGUUUAAAGGGUGCGUAGGUGGUUAAUUAAGUCAGCGGUGAAAGUUUGUGGCUCAACCAUAAAAUUGCCGUUGAAACUGCAUCCCUUGAGUGCGCGAGAAGUAUGCGGAAUGCGUGGUGUAGCGGUGAAAUGCAUAGAUAUCACGCAGAACUCCGAUUGCGAAGGCAGCAUACCGGCGCGCAACUGACGCUCAUGCACGAAAGCGUGGGUAUCGAACAGGAUUAGAUACCCCUGUAGUC